UUGUGCUGCCCCUUUAAGGCAGGCAUGAUCAUUUGGGUGUGUGUUUUUUGUACCAGCAGACUUGCCGUAGUACCUCACCAGUGAAAAACAGUCCUUUAGACAAACUGUCGUCUGUUCCACUUUUUGUUCACUUUUUCUUGCUGAGCCUGAGAGAGCACAUGCCUUUUUACAGUGCUUCAACAGUAAACAUCUAAAACGUAUCCGCUGACUCCUGGAUGUUUAUUGUGGACCUGUUAGCUAUCUGCCAAGCUAGAAACCAGCUUUACACCCUAGUGAGGGCAGAAUAG